UGCGUAGACGGUUACGUAAGUCGGGUGUGAAAGCCCCAGGCUCAACCUGGGAAUUGCAUUCGAGACUGCAUAGCUAGGGUGCGGAAGAGGGAAGCGGAAUUUCCGGUGUAGCGGUGAAAUGCGUAGAUAUCGGAAGGAACACCAGUGGCGAAAGCGGCUUCCUGGUCCAGCACCGACGUUCAGGCACGAAAGCGUGGGGAGCAAACAGGAUUAGAUACCCUGGUAGUCCACGCCAUAAACGAUGAGAACUAGACGUUGAGAGGGUAAGCCUCGCAGUGUCGUAGCUAACGCGCUAAGUUCUCCGCCUGGGGAGUACGGCCGCAAGGUUGAA
rnacentral:rRNA from 1 species